GACGAACGCUGGCGGCGUGCUUAACACAUGCAAGUCGAACGGAAAGGCCCUUCGGGGUACUCGAGUGGCGAACGGGUGAGAAACACGUGGGUGAUCUGCCCUGCACUUUGGGAUAAGCCUGGGAAACUGGGUCUAAUACCGAAUAGGACCACGCGCUUCAUGGUGUGUGGUGGAAAGCUUUUGCGGUGUGGGAUGGGCCCGCGGCCUAUCAGCUUGUUGGUGGGGUAAUGGCCUACCAAGGCGAUGACGGGUAGCCGGCCUGAGAGGGUGACCGGCCACACUGGGACUGAGAUACGGCCCAGACUCCUACGGGAGGCAGCAGUGGGGAAUAUUGCACAAUGGGCGCAAGCCUGAUGCAGCGACGCCGCGUGAGGGAUGACGGCCUUCGGGUUGUAAACCUCUUUCAAUAGGGACGAAGCGCAAGUGACGGUACCUAUAGAAGAAGCACCGGCCAACUACGUG
rnacentral:rRNA from 1 species